rnacentral:lncRNA from 1 species
GCGAGCACAAAGGUCAGCGAAUCCUUCCAUUUCGUCAAUUGGAGGGAGCGCAACGCACUGUUGGUUUGCAUAGAGAGGGAAGGGUUGGCAUAAUAGAGAGGAGUUUAACUAAUCUGCACUCCCCAGUCUAUUGUGUCAAUAUUGGAACUGAGCAACGCGCCGUGCGACAGGUGUCCGCUGGAGAAUCCUCUUUAAAACCAAUCUGAAAAAAAAGAGGGAGAGAGUGAAGAUAAAUGGAAGGAUGGCCUACGAUGUCCCGAGUAUAUAUAGGCUACCUGCAGCGGGCCACACUCCAUUCAGUGUUGCCUACAAGAUGAGCACAAUUUGCAGGUGUUACCGAUAUAGUAGGUUUUUAAAAUUCACUCGAACUUUUUUCGACAAUAGAUAGGCAAUGGUGUGGGGAUGGAGCAACAUAUGGAGACUACAAACCUGAUGUAGUGUAGUCCAAGUACUUUUUUCCAAGACUGGAUCAUCAUAUUUGGAUUGAUUUUCUGUAUUUGCCUCACGUUGAGCCAUACGCACAAUACCUGAAGAUGAAGUUUUGUUCGUUCGGCUCGCGUUAAGCAGGUACAGAUUUUCUACAAAGCAGCAAGAGCAAGUUCAUAUUGUGACAGAUGUCGUUGUCGUUGAUGGUGCUCUCUUGUCCUGUGACAAAUACUGACUUUUUUGUACACUAAAAUUAUAGUCAUACAACCUUUCGUGUUUUGCAUUCGUUAGGCUAUAUUGAAUAUCGUAUGUGGUUUGAACAUUUGGGUUCAUUUCCCCCCGAAGACAACGGAUACAAAUUAUCGACCCCAAUUUUUUAGCCAAGUGGGAUAAUUUUUAUUGCUGUAUGUAUGGAUAAAGUUUUCGUUACUAUUUUUGAAAAAGUAGAUAUAUUAUUUUUUGCUCACUUAAUAUAACUUAGUAUGCGCGCAUUUCCGUGGCUUUUAUGACUAGUUGUUAUACUUUUAUUAGGCUACCUAGUACUGCCUUUUAUUAAAUGCCAUUUGGUUUUUCUUUAUCGACAUGGUUUAAUGAUGAUAAAGUACCAGUUAUGUUAAUCAUUAACCAGCCAAAGAGCAUCUGAUAUGGACCAUCUGCUGUUUGGAUCCUCAUCUGCCUGGGAUCUGCACCUCUGUAUAGGCUAGGCUACUCUGUUACAUUAACUAUGACAUUCAUGGAGGUGUGGACUUUAUUCCAGUAAAUGGAGAAUGUAGCCAAUAAACUACAGCUCAUCAUCAAAACACCACAUGGCUGUAAAAAACAUUUAAGCAGUGUUCUCCAUUGCUCAUGCACUGUAAAACAUGUUGCAUUUCAGUUUAGCACAGAGGCAUCAUACACUACAGGCCUAUCAUUGAAAUCAGACACUUCCAGUUUCCUCCUCAGACAGUAUCAACUGUAUUACCCAAUCCCCCACCACCCAGAUUAUUGACACCAGUACCUCAGGUAUCUGUAUAGUCCCAUUCUAUUUUGAGCGUAACUGCAGGUAUGCAUUUGCAUAUCCAGUUUUCGUUGCGUGAAACAAUAAACAGCAUGGUAAAAGCUUUCCCAUGUCAUUAUUUCUGCUCUCAUGUAUCUCUAUUUGACUAAGUGCCGGUAAAUAUUUGUUUAAAGUCGGAUUAAGGGGAUCUCACCGCCUGUAUUCUGGUCACCUGCCAGAGACAGUUCAUGCUGCAGUUACACCCUAAACCUUCAAAAUAACACCUGCUCAAUUUACUCUACAGAGCAGUUAUUGGCUAUGUAAAAUAUGUCAAACAUUUAGUUUUUCUUAGUCUCAAGCAAGUCUUUCAGACUUUUGUAAUGCAGUAGUUUAUCAUUUAAUAUCUGUUCUGUUUUAUGGAUAAACGUGACUAAUUAUUAUUUGCCCUGUCUCAGCAACGUACAAACGUUUGGGCUGGUUCUCUCACAGAUGCAACAUAGGCUAUUGUUCUAAAAAGUGAGUUUCAAUUAAGCCUGACUUUUCAGCUAUAAAACCAACCUUCUCUUAACCUAUUAUAUACUUUUGAGAGAAUUAUGUAUAUGAUCAAAUAAGAUCAGUUUCCCCCCCCCCCAGUAUUAUUCUUUCAACCUGUGGCUAUCAUAACACUUGGACAUUUGUGUGUGUCUGUAGAAAAGCAUGAUUGCAUUUGUGAUGCCUGCUCAACUGCUACCUACUGCCUCUGUGGAAGACAAGAGUUGCCCCGUGGGCUGUGUGCUGUUUCAACUGACAGUUAAAGGGGUUGCUAAUGGAAUAUGUAUAUGCCUGGGAGUUGUUUCUCCUGUAACUGCCUGGCUUUACCUGAGCAGUGAGCACAGAGAUGGGGGUGGGGUAUGGUGAGAGGGAGGGAGGGAGGGAGAGAACCCAGGACUGCAGCACCUCUCUGGACGCAUCUGAAAUGGCAUCCUAUUCCCUAUAUAGUGUACUACUUUUGACCAGAGCCCUAUGGGUACCCUGUAUAGGGAAUAGGUUGCCAUUACGGACGCACCCUUCCGCUGUCCUCGGGUAAAACCUGCCUGCCUGUUGUGGUCCACUCCGACGUAGAGCCAUUCACAGAGCAGAUGCCACCUGCAUGCGCUGUCAGGUCCUUAGGAGGAUUAGUUCCUAUAGCAGCAGAGAGGGGAAAAAACACACACAGGGAGCAGAACAUUUGGUGGUGGUCUUUGUCUGCUUACUCACUGACUAUUCAAAUGGUACCAACUCACAUUGAUGCAGAAAACAAGACCUGUCCAUUUACAACCUUAUAGCCAUUACUGGAACUGAGUUUAGUUUAACAACAAAAAAAAGCAAAAAGAGAAAUUGCCGAUUCACGUUAGACAAAAGUGUGUUGUAUGUGUCGCUUAUCAACUAAUGAGUUGUGUCUUCUCAAGGCAAGAUUCUGAAGAAAGGUGCUACUACUGAAUAUUUGCACAUGGUGAAAUCAGUGUCUGAUCAGGCACACUAUAGAUACAAAAGUAUGUGGACACCCCUUCAAAUUAGUUGAUUCGGCUAUUUCAGCCACACCUGUUGCUGACAGGUGUUCAAAAUCGAGCACACCGCCAUGCAAUCUCCAUAGACAAAUGUUUGCAGUAGAAUUGCCUUCCUGAAGAGCUCAGUAACUUUCAAUGUGGCACCGUCAUAGGAUGCCAAUAUUGCAGUGGCGACCAGUCAUUCAGGGCAGGUGGCCCACAUUUUUUGCAACAAUUGUUUUUAAAUAAAAAAUAUAUAUUUUGGGCUUGCCUGUUUUGCAUGUUAUUUUGGCAUUAAUACGUGUCACAUAUCAGUUUGUAAACAAUGUAAAAAAAAACAUAUAUCAUUUAGUUAAUAAAGCCUC